CGGCCCGCGGCUCAGCGGUGGAGCGCCGGACUUUCAAUCCGGGAGUCGUGGGUUGGAAUCCCACCCGGCCCU
rnacentral:tRNA from 1 species